UUUUCCUGGAUAAAUUCUAAGUUGCUAAUUUAUUUGGCUGUUUAGCAAACAUUCAGUUGAAUAAAAUCCAAGUUUUGGUUAUCGACUGUUAAGAAUUUUUUCAAAUAAUUAGCCAUUUAUAUUCAUGCUUUAAUAAUGAAGAGGGUGAAAACUAUAUACACAGCAGCUUCCUUUCUAUCUUUUUAAACCCCAUUAACUUUAUUUCAAACAAGAAACCUACAGGAACAAAAUAAAAUACAGACAAUAUAGAACAAUUAGCAAGAAUGUAUUUGCUACACUGAAUGUUGCCUUUGUGUUAGCACCAAACUGACCAUGCCUUAAUGCCUUAAAGGAUGUUUAUAAUGUUUGUUUUUUUUAUUAUUUCACAAAAUUUCUUUUAAACACAUAAAUUAAUUUUGUAUUUUUUAAUGUGAAUUUUAUUUCGUAUGCUUGCUAUUUUGAACAUCAUUUUAAAGACGCAGCUCAAACAAAAAUGUCUCAGAAUUUCAUGAGACAUUUUUGUCUCAUGAACAAAAAUGAGUGAAUGGAGAGAUGGAGAAAGAACCUGCAUCAUUUCUCCAUUCAGAAAGGAGAAAUACAAAAAAGUAUCAGAUUUUCCAUAUCAUUUAGCGCCUUUGGGUUAGCGCAGCUAACCUUUCAGCUAGCGCAGCUAACCUUUCAGUUAGCGGUGCUCACCUCUGCUGACUAGUUUUCUUAACAUACUUCGGGAAUAAAUUACUAUUUACAAUAACAUUUAUGCGUUUUUAUUUCUGCUAAUUAUUUUUGUUUACAUCCAGUACAAACAUUUAAAAUUAGAAAAUUACUCUUAACUUGAUUAUUUAAUUUAUUUCUUAUUUCUAAAUGAUAUUGGCUACAUUUUAUCAGGAAAUAAAGGCAUAUUAUUAUUAAAUCAGACCAAUAACAAAUAUUUUUUAAUUGAUAAACAUGGGAUUAAUUUAAAGGUUAUUUUCUACAGGUUAAUCUGAUAAAUGGAAAGGACAUUAUAAUUUAUUAAAUAUGACUGUUUACAUAUAGAUAUCAUUAUUUGGAAUUGUUUGCGUCCUUUUGGUCAUGGACCCUCAGCAGCAGCCCCACCAGCA